UGGGGGAGUAACUAACUCGAAAGAGUAGCUAAUACCGCAUACGAUCUGAGGAUGAAAGCGGGGGACCUUCGGGCCUCGCGCGAUUGGAGCGGCCGAUGGCAGAUUAGGUAGUUGGUGGGAUAAAAGGCUUACCAAGCCGACGAUCUGUAGCUGGUCUGAGAGGACGACCAGCCACACUGGGACUGAGACACGGCCCAGACUCCUACGGGAGGCAGCAGGC
rnacentral:rRNA from 1 species